GCGGCGGAUUAGGUAGUUGGCGGGGUAACGGCCCGCCAAGCCGAAGAUCCGUACGGGCCAUGAGAGUGGGAGCCCGGAGAUGGACCCUGAGACAAGGGUCCAGGCCCUACGGGGCGCAGCAGGCGCGAAACCUCCGCAAUGCGGGAAACCGCGACGGGGCUAGCCGGAGUGUCCGCGCAACGCGCGGACUGUCGGGGUGCCUAAAAAGCACCCCACAGCAAGGGCCGGGCAAGGCCGGUGGCAGCCGCCGCGGUAAUACCGGCGGCCCGAGUGGCGGCCACUAUUAUUGGGCCUAAAGCGUCCGUAGCCGGUCUGGUAAGUCCCCCGGGAAAUCUGGCGGCUUAACCGUCAGACUGCCGGGGGAUACUGCCAGACUAGGGACCGGGAGAGGCCGAGGGUAUUCCCGGGGUAGGGGUGAAAUCCUGUAAUCCCGGGAGGACCACCUGUGGCGAAGGCGCUCGGCUGGAACGGGUCCGACGGUGAGGGACGAAGGCCUGGGGAGCGAACCGGAUUAGAUACCCGGGUAGUCCAGGCUGUAAACGAUGCGGACUAGGUGUCACCAGAGCUACGAGCUCUGGUGGUGCCGGAGGGAAGCCGUUAAGUCCGCCGCCUGGGAAGUACGGCCGCAAGGCUGAAACUUAAAGGAAUUGGCGGGGGAGCACAAGGGCGAAUUCCA
rnacentral:rRNA from 1 species